ACACAAUAGGGUACAUAUGUCGAUCCCAAUCUCCCAAUCCAUCCCACCUCCCCAUUCCCCCUUCUGUAUCCAUAUGUUUGUUCUCUAUGUCUGUGUCUAUCUCUGCUUUACAAAUCAGUUCACCUGUACCAUUUUUCUAGAUUCCACAUCCUUCGGAAGUAUCACCAUCCUUUGUCCAUCUCUCAGGAUGGACUGACCCACAUUCAAUGGCGAUUCACAUGGAACUUUAGCCUCCAGAGUUCUUCUUUGAAUACUAGCUGCUAACACAAAGAUCUGCACCUGUGGUGGCUCCACGCCCUAGGCGUCAAGGCUCACACCUGGCUGGCCCUCCUAUCCUCGUGGGGAAGUGUGGGGGAGGAGGGGUUCGGUUGGCGUCACUACCCCCUGGUUACUGGGGGAGCACCAAGCGCCCCAAGCCUGAUCCCGGCCCUCUCAUGCCUCUCUGACCACCAGGCCGGCCGGGUAUGGGCCCAGCACGCCAGCGCCAUCCAUUUUCAGGGCUAAUUGAUUUGGCAGUUUGUAGGUGUGACUAAAUUAAGAACCUUUAAACGGAGGAAUUUAUCCUGGAUAAUUCAAGUUGGCUCUAGAUGUAAUUAGAGGGGCAGAGAAAGGUUGCACAGACAUGGAGAAGAAGGCAGUAGGAGAUGGAACAGAGAGAGAUUUGAAGAUGUUGGCCUUGAAGAUUGGAGUGAUGUGGACAUAAGUCAAGGGAUGUUUGCAGCCUCCGAAACCAGAAGAGACAGGGAAUGGAUUCUCUCUAGAGCACCGCAGGGACAGCAGCCUUGCCAGCACUUUGACUUUGGCCCCGUGAAGCCAAUUUUUGUUUUCUGUCCUUCAGAAUUGUGAGAGAAUAAAUGUGUGUUGUUUUUAGC
ensembl:lncRNA